rnacentral:rRNA from 1 species
AAGAUGAGCACUCUAAUGAGACCGCCGGUGACAAACCGGAUGAAGGUGGGGAUGACGUCAAAUCAUCAUGCCCCUUAUCGACCUGGGCUACACGCGUGCUACAAUGGCCGGUACAAAGAGUCGCAAAACCGCGAGGUGGAGCUAAUCUCACAAAACCGGUCUCAGUUCAGAUUGUAGUCUGCAACUCGACUACAUGAAGGUGGAAUCGCUAGUAAUCGCAAAUCAGCAUGUUGCGGUGAAUACGUUCUCGAGGUCUU